ensembl:lncRNA
GUGACAGUUUCUAGAAUAUUUUUUUUAAAUAAGUUUUUGAAAUAAUAAGUUUUCUCAUAUUAAUCAUUUUUUAUGGGUAUUUCCUGUUUUUGUUGUUUGUUUUGGUUGGUCCUUUUUGCCAAGAAUUGAUUAUUGUGCCCAGUGCACCCUCUUUCAGCAGGUUCACAGCAGAGCGUGAGGUGGGACACCAGAGCUUCACCACCGUCCCUGGAAACAUGUUUCUCUGGUCGAGACUCCUGCCAGAGGGAACGCCACCACAUUGUCCUGCAGAAACAUUUCUGCUGGUGAUAUUUACACGUACCCAGUGCCGUCUUAUAUACCAUCUGCUGUACUGUGGAACAAGGACUGUGAGCAAGAGUGUUACAAUGAGGAAGGGGAGUUUUUGUCAGAUGGACGACAACAAGCAAAUAAAACUGAGCACCUACUGGUUCUUAAUGAAACCAUAAACAUCGCAGUCUCUGAAUGCAUCAAUCUUCACCAUUCUGUGACCUGUCAUGGAUCAAAUGAAAAGUUUAAACACACUUACCGAGUGAUCAAUGACACGAUCUCAAGCCAAGAUGUUCCUAAGCAGCAAACCGAUCGCACCACCACCAUCGUCUCUGUCGUCAUUCCGAUUGGACUCCUGCUGAUUGGACUCCUGAUUAGUGUCCUGAUAUGUCUCCACAAAAAACGAAGAUCAGACAUCCCACUGGAGGACAUUACAGCAAGAAACACGGAAGGUGAAGCUCAACUGAACACCUCAAAUACUGAAAACAUGGACCCUGGUGAUACGAGCGCUAACGGCGAUGUUCAAACUGAAGAAGCUCGACCACUCCAACCAUAUCCUUACAGUUGAUGUGUGCAGAGUCGUCGAGAGCGAGUGAGGAUUACGGUUCGGCUUCAGAACUUCUCUCCAGUCUGCUUCUGCCUUUUCUUCAGUCGCACUUUCCCUACACUUUUGCAUCUGGGACACUUUGAAAGUAAAAUUAAGUAGUUAAACUGAGACCGUGGUAUUAUAGGGCUCUACAUAAAAGUGCCAAAUUUUUAAUCAUGACAAAGCAGAUCAAAUUUUUAUACUUUAAUAGUGUUUUGGUGUAAAAAAUAUAUUUUCAUAUAUAUUACUUGCUAUAAAAAUAACAUUUAUAAGAACUAAUUUUUGCCAAAGAAAGGGAAGCUCAAACCAAAGAACCCCAAGAAAAAAAAAAAAACACUUUUCUGCACUUUAAAACACUGCACAUCCUUCUGCACUUUUGUUAUGCUCUACCCUUUUAACUGUGACGAUAGCUGGGGCUGGGCAGCUUCGAGUUGUCAACACUCACCUGAUUGCGCUCCUGGUUUUGACUGCUUCAUCCGAUCCGUGUUUUACUCUGCUAUUUCCGGUAUUGAACUGUGCCAGUUGUGACUAUGAACUUGAUCUUUGCCUUGAUUUUUGUUGGCUACGUAGCUACUGUGUGUGGGAGGCUGCACCAGAACAUCUCUACUACCCUACUACACAGUAGAUGAAAAGCAGUACACCAAAGGAGGAGCAUCUCAGAAUUCUCAGCAUUCAUACAACAGUAUUUAAGAAAUCCCCAGAUGACCUACUGCUUCCCCCGAGAUUCUGCAGUGUGGAAUAACUGGACACUGUGCUAUCCCAUAAUGCAACGUGGCAUGGAAGAGCUGUCAGAAUCAAACCUGGCGCAUCGGCUUUUUAAGCUGUAGGUCACAUGACUAUGCCAACCUGGUGGCUGUAGUGCUUAUAAGCCCUUUCCUUAACUUGCACUGUGGGGCCAAACCUUAGACUGGGUUGUCAUCAACACUACUCUACGUCAUUGAAUCAACGCUAUAGAGAGCACAGCUGGUGGCUUCAUCAGCAGCCCAGUGCUUGUUCCUUUUUAUUUUCUCAUUGUGAUUGACCUUUGCUAUCUCCUUUAUUUUUUAUGUCUGUAAUUUUUUUUGUGCAUGUGUAAAUUUGUUAGCAUUCUUUAUAUACUGUUACCAGG